rnacentral:tRNA from 1 species
UAAAGUUGACAGAAUAUAUGUGAAUGAAUUAGGAUCAUUUUAUAAGAAUUUUUUUCUUACUUUA